ACGUAUUAAGCUUACCUUUUUUUCCCUUUGUUAAGUCAACCUUUACUGUUACAUCAUCUAAAUGACCUUUAACCAGUUGGUAUUUUUGUUUCCUUAUUUAAUUUUAACUGUUUUAAACUCAUUUUCAGGUGACCAUUUGGUAUCUGUACUCAUCUGGAUCGGAUCUUGUUGGUAUUUAUCGGGAUUCAUUUAUUUGCGACAUUUUUUGCUGACUGUAAACCCAAAUUACAACCCAAUAGUCACUAUUUAUCAUUAACAUUGGACCAGUUAAUGUAGACAAUUGUUUUCACUUGAUUAAGAUGAUGGUCAUGAUUGUUUAAAUGGUAAUAGCGUUUUGUUAUUCUCUCCUUCAACCAGUCAAUCAAUUAAUCUUAAUUAAUCAGCGUGUAACAUUAACAUGUAACCAAUCUAAUGAAAUAGGAGUUAAGUUAUUGGUAUAAAUGGUAUGACAUGGCCGGUGAAAGUGGCAAAUUAACAGAGGAAUCAAUGGACUAUGCUUGUGGAUAUAUUUUAUGGUCAAAGGUGUGGCUCAAUUUUUCAGUUAACGUCCAUUUAAAGACAGUAGACUUCAAUUGUUGGAAUGAACUACAGUGGAUGAUUUGAAUCAAUCUUUUUGUCUGUUAUCUUAAUUAACUUGGUUUUCCGUCAAUUUACUCAUUUCUUCUUUUUCUUUUCUCUUUUAUUCUGUUUACAGUUUCUGUAUGAUUGAAUCAAUUUAAAUGAUUGGUUAACCUACAACAAGAACAGUGAUUUGAUGAGAAACUAAACUGUUGUAACCAAAUGUAACCAAGUUAAUUUAAGUUAAUACUGUUUAUUAUCAUCAUCACCAUCACCGUCAUUAUCACUAUCAUCAUUUGAUACAAAUCAAUGUUUGUAAUAAUAAUGUCUAAUAUUGAUCAUUGAUCAAAAAAACAAAAUGAAUUGAACAAACUGAAACUAAUGGCAAGGGAAAAAAACCGUUCAAGAUAAUCAAAGUUAAAAAGAGUUUACUUUUUUCCUUCUGAUGAUGAACACAUAAACAGUAAUUUAUUUUAUUACCAAGUUGUUUCUCUUCAUUUCUCGUCAUCUUCAUCCUGAUACUGAACAAAGUUUCAAGCCUUUUUUUCAUCUCAUCACAAUCAUCAUCUUGAUCAUCAUCCUCAUCAUCAUCUUCUUUCUGUUUAAUCAUCACCAUCAUCAUCAUCAUCAUGAUCACUUUUACUCCACUCACUUACUACUACUACCACUACUACUACAACAACUACAAUUUCAACAAUAAAUCAAUAUCAUUGAUCUAUUUAUUGAUUCUUUUGACCAAAUUAGAGUGUGAACCUUACCAAUCUGGUGUUAAGUGAUUCUUUACCCAACACACAACACAACAUGGAGGGUCACAACACAAUAUAUAACAGUUAAACAGUUGAUAAUGAAACAAUGAAUUUUUCUGGUAAAUCAAACACAAUUGGGUAACAAUUAAAGUAAAGGCCAAGGAAAAAAGGAAAAGGAGAGAAGAUGAAUCAAGAUGGAAAGUUGGUGUAUUAUGAUGAUAAAGGAGAAAGCAAAGGAUAAGAAGACGAAGAAGACUAAAGAGGAGGAGGAGGAGAUGGUAAAGUGGGAGUUUGAAGAGCAAUUGGAGGAGGAGGAAAAGAGUAAUAUAAUGGAUUAAUUGAUUGUGUUGAUAUCAGCGUAAAACCAGAGAACUGAUAUUAUUAUUAUAAAAUAAGGAAUCAGAACUGAUGUUUAGUGGCAAAAGCUGUAUCAAGAGUAUUUAGCCUUUUGACUUAUGAUACUUGCGUGACUCGAAACAAUCAAUAACCUGAAAGUUGAAACUAUUAACAAUCUACAUUAAUAAUGUCUCCGGCAAAUGUAAUAAUUGAAAGUUGCGUGAUAACUUGAACAAUCAAUUAAUCUGAUUUGUGUUACAAUUUCUGUUCCCUUCAACCCUUGUCUCUCUCUCUGUUAACAUUGAUAAUGUUUAAAGAUGAGAUUCCAAUUUGAUGAUUCCAGUUGUUCAAAGUCAAUUGAUUAUUGUAAUAAUAAUGAUCUUCCUUUUAUGUUCUCCUUCAAUCAUCAAAUGGUUCAACUAAACACAAAAUUUGCAGUCAAAUUAACAGUUCAAUUUACUGAAUCUAUUUGGUUAUCCCUGAAAAACUGGUCACAAAGAUGAUACGAAAGAUCAAUAGUUACGAUCAACUUUUUACAGUUCACUUAUUAACUUUGACUCAAACCUUGAAUUGCAUGAUCCAUAAUUCAGUGUUGAUUCCUCCAUAAAGCUUAUGGAUUGAUAAAAGGGUCAUAACCUUAUCCUUUUCAUGAAAACAGACAAAAAGCGAUCAACUUUCAAAAGAUUAUAAAAGCAGGAUAAAUGUGACAUUUUUUUCUGUACAACAUACAAGAUCAAGCCAAAAAGUAUCAACAAUGAUUUAUAUCAAAGUUACUUUUGUUUUUUUUCAAUGAGAAACAAAUUGUCGCUUUUUUAUGUUAAAUUGAAGUUGAGGUAAACAUGGAAGAUGCAACUAAAACCAGUGAAAUUAAACCAGUCAAGUAAAUACAUCGUUGCGUGAGUCUUCAAUCAUGCCAAUCAUCACUCAUCAACAAUCAGACAAAUCAGUAAAGCACAUAAGGCUGAAAACCAACCAUUUGGAGAGACAAGACUGGAAAGAUUGGAAAUGAGGCAUCAUCUUCAUAAUCAUCUUGAUCAAACAAAGCCUGGCUGGAGCUUUAUGCCUAUCAUGUUGCCCUCUAACUCCCAGUCAAUCUUGAAACUUGUAGCUAGUGGCAACUAGCACAAUGGGAAAGGCGAUUACGAUAAGGUCGCUUAAAUGGAUAACUUAUAUUAUAAAUAUAUCAAUAGAUGAAACAUAUUACAAUAUAAACACAACAUCAACACAAACACACUCAGACACAAAGCGAGAUGGAAAUAAAAAAAGCCGAGGACAACAACAGAAGAAAAAACUAUAAUAAAAGGAGAGAAAAGAUUCAACAAAAAAAAGAGAAGAUGAAAAGCUAUGAAUAAAAUGGAAGAAGGAGAUAAAAGUGAGUCAUAAAGAUAGAGAGAGGCUGCAAGGAUGAAGAUGAGGAAGAUGAAAAAGGUAGGAGAAGAGGCCAUAGAAAAGGAUAUCCACAUAAUGCUUUAGUUUGGUUUGCCGAGUUUGGUUUUCAUUGGUGAAUCCAAAGUUAAAAAGGAGGAUGAGAAGAGGAAGACAAAGAUGGAAGCUGAUGGAAAGCUGAGGAAAGAGAGAGAGAUGAAGAUGAAAAGUUCGCAUGUAAGCUCAAAAAGGUUCAAUAUUUAGCUGUUUAGUGAAUGUUUAGUUACUACUGUAAAAGCACUUGCCAAUGUCCUUCACUAACAACCACUAAAUGUUAGGCCGUCGACUAUUUUUAUUAUCAUUAUUAUAGCUUCUAUUACUCUUUAUUAUAGCUCAAAAUUUCUCUCGUCUUUCUACUUACUUUAACUUCUCACUCUCUUUAUCCUCCUCUCAUCCUCUCUCUCUCCAUCAUUUCCCUCUUCAUCUUUACUCUCAGCUCGCCUUCAACUAUAAAGUAUAUCAUCGCUCAUGUGCCCAACUCUGUCGCCUUACAUUUAACAUGAUAUAAUCUAUUGUUGCUCAUGCUCAACAAUUAUCAUUAUUAUUAUUUGUUGAUAAUGUUGAUCAUCUUUCCCUUUCAAAUGGCACUUUUAAAGCCAUUUCGAGCCACUUUUCCCUUUCCUCGCCUGUGCCUUCAAUUGUUGUCAAUUGUUUACCUUUUCAUUCCUCUUCAGUAAACCUUUUGAAUCUCAAUUUACCUCACCUUUUCAUCAAUUAUAUUAAUAUCAAUCGGUGAAGUUACAAGAUUCAACAGAUCAAUUUUUUUCUGUCAAUACAUUUUGACCUUACUUUUGUCAAGCAAAUUGAAAUUGUUUCAAUUGGUUCACUUGUUUUCAUUAUUUUCACCCUUUCAGCUUGAACUUCACAUAUUAGAUUACAAGAAUAGUAUAAGUGAUUCAAUUUAUAGCAACAUCAAUCUUUGUUUACCUUUUUCUUCCUAGUUAACAUUUCUCACAAAUAAUCACAAUCAAUUUAGCUUUUACAUAAAUCUUGCAUUCCUUUGCUAAUUCAGUUAACCAUUUUUACCUGUUCAUCUUGCCAUCAUCAUUAACAUGAUCAUCAAAUAGACUCUCAUUUUGAUUGCCAUUUUUAUCCAAACCAUUUCUUUAAUAGUUUAUUGUGAUUGCCAAAUGGAAAGCCUUUUUUAAAAGUAAAUGUAAAACAACAAUUGAGACCGAUUUUUUCAUCAAAGUUAAAGAUUCUUUUGGGAUGAAAGGAAGAUGAAGAUGAAAAACAAGAGUAAAAUGAUGGCGACAUUGAUGGGCUAAACUUGAAAGUGAAUUUGAAUGUAAAGUAAAAGGCCAAUUUUCAUGAUAAAAAAAGUGACUUUUCAACUCUUUUCUUUUUUUCUCUCGGUUGCUGUUUUUUUUCUGGUUAAACCUUUCACAGCUUUUUGCGUUUUUCCCUGAUUCAUGAUCACUUUUUAUAAUAAUAAUAAUAGAUGAUAAACAAGAGGAUUGAAUCAAUUUGUAGGUAAAUCAGUUUUUGCCUUUGCUUUUGUUAAUAGAAAGUGAUUAUCUUUGAUUCUUUAUAAUCAUAAUUCACUGAUUUACUCUCUAUUAUCCUAAAUCAAUGAAGCAAUAUAAAUCCCUUAUCGGUUGAUUCCAGGCAAAAAAUAUAAUAAUAUCAUCAUUAUAAAUAUGUUUGAAGAGAAAAUUUUUCAU